CAAGAAAUAAUUUAUCGAUGAAGGAUAGGACAGUUGAUAGAGUGAGAGAAAUUAUAUCUUAUACUGUGUGCAUCAUGUGACCGUGUAUCAUAUCAAUAAUCAUAUCUUCUUUUUUGGAUCAUAUUCAUGAUAUAUUUAUCUCGAUGAUUGAUCCAUAUGAAGGAGACGCGAUGAUUGGCAUGGUGCAUGUUCAUCUCAGUGCAUAUAGUAUAUGAUAUAAUUUGCUAGAUGGGAAUUGGGGUG
rnacentral:lncRNA from 1 species